rnacentral:lncRNA from 1 species
GUUUUGCUGUAGUAGAUUACUUGGAACUUCCUCCUCCUUACUUCUUGAUGGGAUCAACGCUUCUCAGGAAGAGCUUCCACAAGUGCAAGAUCACAUUGAAAUGGAAGAAGGGUGUCUCUUGUUCCCAGGUUUCAUCCAGUUUGGUAAAAUUGCUGGAUCUACUCCUACUGCAAGCAGACAAAGUUAUCCAUUUUCCUUCUCCUUCAGUCAUACUGUCAUAUACCUGCAUGUAAGUUAUGUCACUGUACCUUGUCUAGACUUAUUAGUUAAAUAAAUAAAUAAAUAAAAUGGUUAUGGGUAAGGUG